rnacentral:lncRNA from 1 species
UCAUGAGUGGCUUGUAUGACCCACAAAGGAAAGAACAAAAGAGUAGGUCAUGGCCAUGCCCCUUCUAGAGCUGUGUAACAUGGGCAUCAUCUAUCAUGAAGUGGAGGAAAGGAGUUGAUAUAUGUGGAUUUAAAAAGGCAGGGCAGAGGCAGGAGGAGUUUGCAGCUGCUUGACAUAGUUGAGGUUUCUUGGGUGCUGCAUAAACAUUUAGGAUUUGGAGCAAAGCUAUGAAGAUCUUGUUCCAGUGUCCCUGCUGCUCUUGCUUCUGCUUCUUGACCAAAGAUAGCAAAUCAAAGGAGGCUGAAGGAAAGGAAGACUGAGAGCAGUGAGUUGCUGUACCCUUUGUUUGGCUUCAGAUUAUGUAAAAAAGCAAAUGCUUCAAUCUAUGGAUUUAUAUUACUAAAGUUCCUGAAAAUUAUUCAGGUUUUAUAUUACCUUUUUGUCUUUCUCGAUGCCUUUCUUGUGUGAAAUGCUGCCCCC